GUCCCCUAAGAAGAAAUCCAUGUUCCGAAGACCUUCAAAGUCUUCUAAAAACAAAGAUGUCUGUUGGAACUGUGGAAAAACCGGCCAUAGAGCCAAUGAUUGCAAAUUUUUAACAGAUAUUGUACCUUAACAUCAAAGAUCUAAUGGCUUCUUAGUAGAGUCUUCUUGGGUUUACAACUAUUUUCUCUAAAGUCAUCUUAGCGACGGGAUCACCUAACAAGGUCUAAACACCUACCUAGGCAAGAACGACCUAUCACUUUAAGGCUAGCCAACGUCUGAACCGGAUAUUAAUAGGCUACCUCAUACUUAUAGAGAAAAUAUUAACCUCAUACAUAACUUAGAAGCAUUUUAAGAACAUGAGUUUAAAGUAAUAGUAAACGGUAAAUAUGCAAAUUUCUAACAGAUACUAUACCUUAACAUCAAAGAUCUAAUGGCUUCUUAGUAGAGUCUUCUUGGGUUUACAACUAUUUUCUCUAAAGUCAUCUUAGUGACGGGAUCACCUAACAAGGUCUAAACGCCUACCUUGGCAACAACGACCUAUCACUUUAAGGCUAGCCAACGUCUGAACCGGAUAUUAAUCGGUUACCUCAUACUUAUAGAGAAAAUAUUAACCUCAUACAUAACUUAGAAGCAUUUUAAGAACAUGAAUUUAAAAAACAGUUUAAGAGAUAGAUAUAAGCAUAGAUAAUUUCUUCUUCUUCUUCAUUAAUAUAAGAGUUCCUUAGGGCUCUGGUACCAGUUAAGGUACAA
rnacentral:lncRNA from 1 species